UCCCUUCAUGACUCAGUUUUAGAGCUGGACUAGCAAGCUUGGGUCGCAUGAGAGCUUUAUUCACUUUUCUUAACCUUCCAUGUUUGAGAGUGCUAGUUCACGAACAGGAGAAACUACCCGAAUUAUCUGUUGGUUUCUUGGACUGGGAUGAGAUGAAGGACUACAGAACAGCCAUUUUUAUAAUCAUCCACACUAUCCAAGUCAUGGAUCUCACGUUGACUGACUUAUCUUGACUACUGGGGGAAGCAAUGAAAGACACCAAUGGAAAUGGAGCUCUCUAGAGAAGUGAAAGUGGAUACUGAGCUGAAGGAGCAGAAUGGCUGCCAUAGUAAUUGGUGAGACAUGCUGGUACUGGAAUAAAGAACGAUGCUGACUUUGAUCCUGAUGAGCGUUGGACCAUGAAAGGCAGUCUGUGUUCUGGUUUAGAUCCUGGCGACCCAGAAAGAUUUCUACGAGGGACAGAAGAUCUGUUUGACAAUGCUUCCAGACACUAGGCUCCUGACACCAUGAGGCCCUCAACUCCAUAAUUCUGUGGGCAUCAGUCACAUAGGGCCAUGCGCCAAGCCCCUCGUAUUCUGUCUGGACCCCCACAGUCACCUGGCAGCAGCCAGGUAUGCCCCUCCCCACCUGCCAACAGCCAGGUAGACCCAAGCUACUAUAAAAGGGAGUGUUUGCCCUCUUCUCUCUGUCUUACUCUCUCUUACUCGCUUGCUCUCUUUCUCUGUCUCUUGUCCCCUUGCUUCAACUCUCUCCCCAUUCUGUUUCCCCUCUCUCCAUGUGGCCAUGGCUGGCUUCUACUUCUCUACCUUCUCUCCCUGAUUCUAUUCUUCUACAAUAAAGUCCUAAAACCAUG